CAGUUCGGACUGUAGGCUGCAACUCGCCUACACCGAAGUCGGAAUCGCUAGUAAUCGCGGAUCAGCAUGCCGCGGUGAAUACGUUCCCGGGCCUUGUACACACCGCCCGUCACACCAUGGGAGUUUGUAACGCCCAAAGUCGGUGGCCUAACCUUUAUGGAGGGAGCCGCCUAAGGCGGGACAGAUGACUGGGGUGAAGUCGUAACAAGGUACC
rnacentral:rRNA from 1 species